AACAUGAUGAAGCAUUUUUCCCCCAUCUAAAGAUCCAGUCGUGCUCCAGUUUGCAGAGGGCAAGGGGCUGGUUGCAGGUGGUGCUGGGAGGAUGGAGGAAAGUCCAACGUGUAAACUGAUGACAGACUUCCUGGAGGAAGAGGUGGGGCAGCCUGGAGUUUUCCUCUGGACAUCCUGAGAGGGAUACUGAAGCACUCAGAAGGGGUCUUAGACCUGCCCAAGCUCACACAUGCAGUUUGAGAAGAGCUGCGCUUAGACCACAGGCCUCUUCGCUCCUGGGAAGCUGAGAGCGUCGGCGCUGGAGUUCGUCAGACAGGGGCAAGUCCCAACCGCAGCUCAGUGACCUCAGACAAGCCCCCUCACCUUGCAGAACUGGGUUCUUCUUCAGAGUUGUAGGAAGGAGUGGAGGAGGGUCUCCGCAUGUCAGAUGUCCACACAGUGCCUGGGAGCUGAGGUUGUCAUGGUUACCAAGAGGCCAGUCUCAGGGCUGCUGUGAUGACCUGGGCUGCACUCCCAUUCCCAAGAAGGGGAGAACUCCUCAGAUUCCCUACUCUGCUCUUGCUCCUUCCCAAGCAAUACAUGAGCAGGAAUUUGUCCUCUGCAGGAAUGUGCAGCGAGAAAGUCUCCUUUUUUGAUGAGACAGUGAUGAGGUGAUGUCUGGUUUUUUAUAUCCUCAUUUGCUGAACUGGUGCCAGAUGUAAGAGUCCAGCCUGGAUUCCAUUAGCCAUAUUUGUCCUCUGGGCUCCCAGCCCUGCAAGGACCUUCUGGGGGCCCACCUUGAGACCCUCCAUUUGGCAUAUACCCGUCUGCUGUGUGGCUGGACCAUGUGGGUAAACUCUCCGGAGGCCUGCAUGAGCUAAAGGGGAUGCUCCAUCCCAUGCACAGUGGAGCCUGCCUCCAUGGGCCCUGCUGGCCUUCAUGGCACCACCUCUCCCAUAGACAUCAGAGCUCCGGUGCCGGCGCUCCCCCCCUGCAGACCCACUUGGUCGUGCCCAGCCAGGCUACCCUGCACAGCGUCUCACUCAUCUGUGCCAGAGUGAUGGCUGCUCAGCUAGCCAUGAGGGGGUAGCACACCCUCUGCCCAUCCUGCAACAUGUCUGAAGCCCACCUAGACCCCUUCAUCCCAUGGACACUGCAUUAAGCACAUGCACAAGCACCUGGGCUUCAGUGGGGGCUUAUUUGGGCUCCCCAGGAUGGACUGGAGCAUCAGUAGUGCCCGAGUUCAUCACAGGACAGAUGCUCAAGACACCCUGAUCACCAUUAGGUGGACUUGGAGGAGCCAAAAAUGGGCGCAGUGGCUCCUCAGCAGAGACACUCCUGAAUGUAUAGACAUGAGAACCACCUUCAGCAUCAAAAAAGGAAACGUUGUGCAUGCCCAUAUCCAGAAAAAUCCCCACUCGCUGUAACUUGCGGUCCACGAAGAGGAAAGUCAGGGGCACCGUGCUGGCAGAGAGGCGGCUUCCAUCCCUCAGACUCACAGUCCAGAAUCCACCCUCUGUGGUCAGAUGGAUCCUCCCUUUGCGGUGAACAGAUUCUCUGCAGACUCCCAGGUCCCAUUCUGUGCUUGUUCCCACGUCCACCUCCCAGUAGUGGCGGCCACAGGUAAAGCGAGGGGAGCCCAGGACACAAAUGGACAAGUCAAAUCUCUCGGCAAGGUCUUGCCGAUUCUGUCUGAUGCGCCCACUUCGGACGCUCCUGAGGUCGUCAGAAAUGAGGAGGAAGUUGUUGGCUGUGUUGGCAUCCAAGGUCAUAUCCACUGUGAAAAGGAAAACAAGUUGAUCAGAAAAUGGACAGAAGCCAGCCCUUUGCCUCUCCUCUACUUCAAAGGCCCAAAUAUCUCUUGACUUUGGUUUCUUUAAUUCUCUUCUUCCCCCAAAAUCAAAACUUUUCAUGAGGCAACUUCCCUGACUAGUUCAAAUUCUCAUAGGUAUGCUUCAUGGCAAUACCCAACUCAUUCACAGUAGCAAUUAUUUUACUUUAUGUCACGUGUUUGCUUCAUUGGACUUUUCUUCAUUUAGAGUGGAGGGUCUCUGAAGGCAGACACCAUGACCCCCUUUCUACUACCUUGAUGCGUGAAAAAAUGAUAAUUAAGACAAUGCAAAUGGUCGAUAUUAAAUAUGUUUCUGCUUCCACCUUGUAUUGCUCAAUUCAGUAUAUAGAGCAUGAUUCCAGGCCUUCGUUUUCCACGUUUGUAAACAAAUUAAUUGUGCACGAUUCUGACAGCAGAUAGGGUAUCUCUGCAGCUGACAAUGUGAUGACAGAGGUGCCGAUCCUGGACAUCAGGAGGCUCCAAGGCCAGGAGGAGGAGGGGGGCCUUAGAUGAAAGAAUGUUUUUCCAUCCUACAUGGGAGGUGAGACCUUAAGCAAAACAAUGGUAAAUUUUGGAGAGAAGAGAAAGGUAUUUGAAAGUUGUUCGUUGGCCGGGCGCGGUGGAUCACGCCUGUAAUCCCAGCACUUUGGGAGGCCGAGGCGGGCGGAUCACGAGGUCAGGAGAUCAAGACCAUCCUGGCUAACACGUGAAACCCCAUCUCUACUAAAAAAAAAUACAAAAAAAUUAGUUAGGCGUGGUGGCGGGUGCCUGUAGUCCUAGCUACUCAGUAGACUGAGGCAGGAGAAUGGCAUGAACCCAGGAGGCGGAGCUUGCAGUGAGCAGAGAUUGGGCCACUGCACCUCAGCCUAGGCGGCAGAGCAAGACUCCAUCUCAAAAAAA